rnacentral:rRNA from 1 species
AGUGUCGCAUGACACAAAGUUAAAAGGCGCUUCGGCGUCACCUAGAGAUGGAUCCGCGGUGCAUUAGUUAGUUGGUGGGGUAAAGGCCUACCAAGACAAUGAUGCAUAGCCGAGUUGAGAGACUGAUCGGCCACAUUGGGACUGAGACACGGCCCAAACUCCUACGGGAGGCUGCAGUAGGGAAUCUUCCACAAUGGGCGAAAGCCUGAUGGAGCAACGCCGCGUGUGUGAUGAAGGCUUUCGGGUCGUAAAGCACUGUUGUAUGGGAAGAACAGCUAGAAUAGGAAAUGAUUUUAGUUUGACGGUACCAUACCAGAAAGGGACGGCUAAAUACGUGCCAGCAGCCGCGGUAAUACGUAUGUCCCGAGCGUUAUCCGGAUUUAUUGGGCGUAAAGCGAGCGCAGACGGUUUAUUAAGUCUGAUGUGAAAGCCCGGAGCUCAACUCCGGAAUGGCAUUGGAAACUGGUUAACUUGAGUGCAGUAGAGGUAAGUGGAACUCCAUGUGUAGCGGUGGAAUGCGUAGAUAUAUGGAAGAACACCAGUGGCGAAGGCGGCUUACUGGACUGCAACUGACGUUGAGGCUCGAAAGUGUGGGUAGCAAACAGGAUUAGAUACCCUGGUAGUCCACACCGUAAACGAUGAACACUAGGUGUUAGGAGGUUUCCGCCUCUUAGUGCCGAAGCUAACGCAUUAAGUGUUCCGCCUGGGGAGUACGACCGCAAGGUUGAAACUCAAAGGAAUUGACGGGGACCCGCACAAGCGGUGGAGCAUGUGGUUUAAUUCGAAGCAACGCGAAGAACCUUACCAGGUCUUGACAUCCUUUGAAGCUUUUAGAGAUAGAAGUGUUCUCUUCGGAGACAAAGUGACAGGUGGUGCAUGGUCGUCGUCAGCUCGUGUCGUGAGAUGUUGGGUUAAGUCCCGCAACGAGCGCAACCCUUAUUGUUAGUUGCCAGCAUUCAGAUGGGCACUCUAGCGAGACUGCCGGUGACAAACCGGAGGAAGGCGGGGACGACGUCAGAUCAUCAUGCCCCUUAUGACCUGGGCUACACACGUGCUACAAUGGCGUAUACAACGAGUUGCCAACCCGCGAGGGUGAGCUAAUCUCUUAAAGUACGUCUCAGUUCGGAUUGUAGUCUGCAACUCGACUACAUGAAGUCGGAAUCGCUAGUAAUCGCGGAUCAGCACGCCGCGGUGAAUACGUUCCCGGGUCUUGUACACACCGCCCGUCACCC